ACUUCAUUACUGAGGCACACUAGCAGGAUCCAAAGCAGCAAUGACUUCUCCACUGCUCCCCAUCUUUCUCUUUCUCAUAUUAUACAGUCAAGACUCCAGUUGUGAGAUUACGGUAAUUCAGACUCCAACGGCAAAAUCAGUCUCUGUAGGAGACAAUGUGGCCUUUACAUGUACAACCAGCACUGAUGUGAGUAGUAAUGUAGCCUGGUACCAUCAGAGACCUGGAGAAGCUCCUAAGCUCUUGAUCUAUGCAGCAGAACACCUUGAAGAUGACAUCCCAAGUCGCUUCAGUGGCAGCGGAUCAGAGACUGAAUACACAAUGACUAUCACUGGAGUCCAGGCUGAGGAUGCAGGACAUUACUACUGUCAACAGUACGAAGAGUUUCCUCUCACACAGCGACAGAGACUCGUACAAAAACCUCUCUUAACAUCUGAACAGCCUGCAGGUGCUUUACAAAGGCACCAGAGUGAUACUCAUUUAAAACUUUGCUUCUAUAUGAUAUUAGUGUUAGCUAUAAGGCUAUUUACUCAACUUGAACAGUUUGACUUUUCAUUUUUAUAGUGGGAUUAUGCUUCUAUAAACCUGAUUCCAAAAGCUGCAUCUUAAAGUAUUACAUAAUU